CGCAUCGCAAGGGCUGGUCGAGGCCCUGACAGGUGAAAAACGUGUCCUGGAGACGCUCAGAUCGGGCAUGCAGCAGCAGCAGCAUCAGCGGGGCGGCGGCGCCGUGAUGGAUGAUCAAAAUGCCACUGCCAGUGUGUAGUACUAGUACAUGGUGAAGUAUCUACCAUAGUCUUGCCUUGCGGCGUGUAACCAGAGACCAUGGUAUAGAUUGCAAGGAAUGAAGGAAAUGAGGACACUUUACUGAAGAUGAGGCAAAGAUGAAGUAGCAAUGGUGAUCCAUGAAAUCAGGUGAAGUUCACUGAACUAGAAGGUGUCAGUUUUUUUUUAAGAUGAUGGAAAAAAAAACAUCCCGGCCUUGACCUCCAAGAGGCUACAGCCCAGUCAUUGCAUCAAACUGUAGCUCCUCCGUCUGCAAACACACUCAGUUCGAUCUGUUGUCAGUAUCAUUUGCCCUAUAAACUAUCUGAAGAAUGAAAUACUACAAACUGUGUAUAGCAAGUAUACUACCUGAACCUGAACUGAACAAUGGUCACGCAGUCCAUUGCGUGAGACAAACAGAAGUCAAUUUUUCUGAACUUGAGAGGCAAAACAGGGCCAUCCUCCUCCAUCAGAAGCGACAAAAUGCAUGCACCAUCCAUAACAAAUAAAAGCCCAAGCUUUCCUGUA